rnacentral:rRNA from 1 species
UGCAAGUCGAACGAUGAAGCCCAGCUUGCUGGGUGGAUUAGUGGCGAACGGGUGAGUAACACGUGAGUAACCUGCCCUUGACUCUGGGAUAAGCGUUGGAAACGACGUCUAAUACCGGAUACGAGCUUCCACCGCAUGGUGAGUUGCUGGAAAGAAUUUUGGUCAAGGAUGGACUCGCGGCCUAUCAGCUUGUUGGUGAGGUAAUGGCUCACCAAGGCGACGACGGGUAGCCGGCCUGAGAGGGUGACCGGCCACACUGGGACUGAGACACGGCCCAGACUCCUACGGGAGGCAGCAGUGGGGAAUAUUGCACAAUGGGCGAAAGCCUGAUGCAGCAACGCCGCGUGAGGGACGACGGCCUUCGGGUUGUAAACCUCUUUUAGCAGGGAAGAAC